rnacentral:rRNA from 1 species
UACGGGGGGGGCAAGCGUUGUUCGGAAUUACUGGGCGUAAAGGGCUCGUAGGUGGCCAACUAAGUCAGACGUGAAAUCCCCAGGCUUAACCUGGGAACUGCGUCUGAUACUGGAUGGCUUGAAUUCGGGAGAGGGAUGCAGAAUUCCAGGUGUAGCGGUGAAAUGCGUAGAUAUCUGGAGGAAUACCGGUGGCGAAGGCGGCAUCCUGGACCGAGAUUGGCACUGAUGAGCGAAAGCCAGGGGAGCAAACGGG